GGUAGGUUUGCUCGUUUUCAAUUCACACGAUGUGUCAUCUCUUCUCUCUCAUCUCUCUUAUCCUUUUUCGUUAUUGAAAUCCAGAUCUGUCUUCUUCAUCUCUUUCUCUCAUUUCCCACUGAAACUCCAACUCUAUCUUCCUCCUUGUUGUCUUGCAUGUCAACCGAUGCUCCUCAGAAUCGGGGGCACGUGGACUUUCCUUUAUUAAUACUUACUUUUACAUUGAACUAUCAUGAAGUGAUCAAAGAGCCUACUGUAUACAAGGCGAUGCCUUUCAACGGUAAUUUCACUUACCUCAUCUCAUUGACUUCUUUUAUUAUACUUUUUUUUGUAGGCCUAUCUUGUCUUGCCUCACACGCUCAGUUAUCUUAAAUUCACCACUACGUAAUGUGUUUUUUCCUUCUCACAUUCGUACAUGGACUUUUGUGUUAUCAAUUUUUUUUGUUAGUACAUUCAUGUUUUGUAUAUUAUGAUUUUGUUAUAUUUACCAUAUUAUUUUAACUUUUGAGAAUACUUUGUUUGGAAUGGAAUUUGUAAUGUUAUUAUAA